rnacentral:siRNA from 1 species
UUCCUGAUUUCUUCACUUCCA